CAUGCGUCGUUCGGUUCUGCUUAACGCUAGAUAAUCUGGACGCAUUUUCUGGCCAGGCAGGGUACAAUGAGAACCGCCGUUUUUGCUCUCACAUUUAUCGCCGUUGCAUUCGUGUUCCUGGAAUUGCCGCUCGCUGAAGGAAGAAUUCGAAUACCGAAGCUUCGCCAGAAGGUGAAGGUUCCACGUCCACAUCGUCGUGUGCCAAAAGUCCAUAAGCCGCAUACCCCAAUGCGUUCAAGGGUCGCAAGCGCUGCAAGCAUCGGAGCGGGCAUAACAGGCGCAGUAGCCUC